UUCUUAAAUGAGGGAUCGGCGGCUACCAUGCAGUCGAGGGGUAACAGGAGUGCUUGCACUCGCUGACGACCGGCGCACGGGUGCGUAACGCGUAUAGAACCUACCUUUUACUGAGGGAUAGCCUUUAGAAAUGAAGAUUAAUACCUCAUAGUAUUGUAAACUGGCAUCGGUUUAUAAUUAAAGAUUUAUUGGUAAAAGAUGGCUAUGCGUCUUAUUAGCUAGAUGGUAAGGUAACGGCUUACCAUGGCAACGAUAAGUAGGGGCCCUGAGAGGGGGAUCCCCCACACUGGUACUGAGACACGGACCAGACUCCUACGGGAGGCAGCAGUGAGGAAUAUUGGGCAAUGGAGGCAACUCUGACCCAGCCAUGCCGCGUGCAGGAAGACUGCCCUAUGGGUUGUAAACUGCUUUUAUACAGGAAGAAACACACCUACGUGUAGGUGCUUGACGGUACUGUAAGAAUAAGCACCGGCUAACUCCGUGCCAGCAGCCGCGGUAAUACGGAGGGUGCAAGCGUUAUCCGGAAUCAUUGGGUUUAAAGGGUCCGCAGGCGGUCAAUUAAGUCAGAGGUGAAAUCCCAUAGCUUAACUAUGGAACUGCCUUUGAUACUGGUUGACUUGAGUUAUACGGAAGUAGAUAGAAUAAGUAGUGUAGCGGUGAAACGCAUAGAUAUUACUUAGAAUACCGAUUGCGAAGGCAGUCUACUACGUAUAUACUGACGCUCAUGGACGAAAGCGUGGGGAGCGAACAGGAUUAGAUACCCUGGUAGUCCACGCCGUAAACGAUGGACACUAGUUGUUGGAAUUAUUCAGUGACUAAGCGAAAGUGAUAAGUGUCCCACCUGGGGAGUACGAUCGCAAGAUUGAAACUCAAAGGAAUUGACGGGGGCCCGCACAAGCGGUGGAGCAUAUGGUUUAAUUCGAUGAUACGCGAGGAACCUUACCAGGGCUUAAAUGUAGGAUGCAUUAGCUAGAGAUAGCUAUUUCUUCGGACUUCUUACAGGUGCUGCAUGGUUGUCGUCAGCUCGUGCCGUGAGGUGUCAGGUUAAGUCCUAUAACGAGCGCAC
rnacentral:rRNA from 1 species